rnacentral:rRNA from 1 species
CGCGUAGGCGGUUCUUUAAGUCAGGCGUGAAAGCCCUGGGCUCAACCUGGGAGUGGCGCUUGAUACUGGAGGACUAGAGAGUGGGAGAGGUUGGUGGAAUUCCCAGUGUAGAGGUGAAAUUCGUAGAUAUUGGGAAGAACACCGGUGGCGAAGGCGGCCAACUGGACCAUUUCUGACGCUGAGGCGCGAAAGCGUGGGGAGCAAACAGGAUUAGAUACCCUGGUAGUCCACGCUGUAAACGAUGAGUGCUGGACGUUGCGGAGCUUGCUCUGCGGUGUCGUAGCUAACGCGAUAAGCACUCCGCCUGGGGAGUACGGCCGCAAGGUUGAA